GCUUCCGUAGCUCAGCAGGAUAGAGCGUCCGCCUCCUAAGCGGAAGGUCGUGGGUUCGAAUCCCGCCGGGAGUGCCA
rnacentral:tRNA from 1 species